AUACGGAGGGUGCAAGCGUUACUCGGAAUCACUGGGCGUAAAGGACGCGUAGGCGGGUUGGUCAGUCGCGUGUGAAAGGCCGGGGCUCAACCCCGAGCAUUGCACGUGAUACUGCCUGGCUCGAGAGAGGUAGGGGCGAGCGGAAUUCCCGGUGUAGCGGUGGAAUGCGUAGAUAUCGGGAAGAACACCUGUGGCGAAGGCGGCUUUCUGGACCAAUACUGACACUGAGGCGCGAAAGCGUGGGGAGCAAACAGGAUUAGAUACCCCGGUAGUCC
rnacentral:rRNA from 1 species